UGAAAACGAAAUGGCCACCUCCU
rnacentral:piRNA from 1 species